AAAACUUUCAACAACGGAUCUCUUGGUUCUGGCAUCGAUGAAGAACGUAGCGAAAUGCGAUAAGUAAUGUGAAUUGCAGAAUUCAGUGAAUCAUCGAAUCUUUGAACGCACAUUGCGCCCGCCAGUACUCUGGCGGGCAUGCCUGUCCGAGCGUCAUUUCACCACUCAGGCCCAGCCUGGCGUUGGGG
rnacentral:rRNA from 2 species